CCUACGGGGGGCAGCAGUAGGGAAUAUUGGUCAAUGGGCGGAAGCCUGAACCAGCCAUGCCGCGUGCAGGAAGAAGGCCCUUGGGUUGUAAACUGCUUUUGACAGGGAACCAAGGGGUCUGAAAUAAGCCACGGCUAACUACGUGCCAGCAGCCGCGGUAAUACGUAGGUGGCAAGCGUUGUCCGGAUUUAUUGGGUUUAAAGGGUGCGUAGGCGGCCGCUUAAGUCAGUUGUGAAAUAUCCCGGCUCAACCGGGAGGGUGCGAUUGAUACUGGGCGGCUCGAGUAACAGCGAGGUUGGCGGAAUUGACGGUGUAGCGGUGAAAUGCAUAGAUAUCGUCAAGAACACCGAUAGCGAAGGCAGCCAACUAGGUUAACUGACGCUGAGGCACGAAAGUGCGGGGAUCAAACAGGAUUAGAUACCCUUGUAGUC
rnacentral:rRNA from 1 species